UACGGGGAUGCAAGCGUUAUCCGGAAUCAUUGGGCGUAAAGCGCCUGUAGGUUGUUAAUAAGUCUGUUGUUAAAGACUAGGGCUCAACCCUAGGAAAGCAAUGGAAACUACUAGACUAGAGUAUGGCAGGGGCAGAGGGAAUUUCUAGUGUAGCGGUGAAAUGCGUAGAUAUUAGAAAGAACACCGGUGGCGAAAGCGCUCUGCUGGACCAUUACUGACACUCAGAGGCGAAAGCUAGGGUAGCAAAAGGGAUUAAAUACCCUCGUAGUCCAUGCCGUAAACGAUGUGUGUUAGACGUUGGAAAUUUAUUUUCAGUGUCGCAGCGAAAGCGAUAAACACACCGCCUGGGGAGUACGACCGCAAGGUUAAAACUCAAAUGAAUUGACGGGGACCCGCACAAGUAGUGGAGCAUGUGGUUUAAUUCGAAGAUACGCGCAGAACCUUACCAACACUUGACAUGUUCGUCGCGACUUUAAGAGAUUAAAGUUUUCGGUUCGGCCGGACGAAACACAGGUGCUGCAUGGCU
rnacentral:rRNA from 1 species